CCCUUAGAUGUUCGGGGCCGCACGCGCGCUACACUGAAGGACUCAGCGUGUCUCUCCCCCUAUCCCGAAAGGGAUGGGCAACCCGUUGAACCUCCUUCGUGCUAGGGAUUGGGGUUUGCAAUUAUCCCCCAUGAACGAGGAAUUCCCAGUAAGCGCGAGUCAUCAGCUCGCGUUGAUUACGUCCCUGCCCUUUGUACACACCGCCCGUCGCUACUACCGAUUGGGUGUGCUGGUGAAAUGUUCGGAUCGGCCGUUUGUCGCGGUUUCCGCGUCAUGCGGCUGAGAAGUUCAUUAAACCCUCCCACCUAGAGGAAGGAGAAGUCGUAACA
rnacentral:rRNA from 1 species